AGUGUAGGCGGCUUCGUAAGUCGGAUGUGAAAGCCCCGGGCUUAACCUGGGAAUGGCAUUCGAUACUGCGCGGCUAGAGUCUGAUAGAGGGAAGUGGAAUUCCAGGUGUAGCGGUGAAAUGCGUAGAGAUCUGGAGGAACACCAGUGGCGAAGGCGGCUUCCUGGAUCAAGACUGACGCUGAGGCUCGAAAGCGUGGGGAGCAAACA
rnacentral:rRNA from 1 species